rnacentral:rRNA from 1 species
AGGGUUUGAUCAUGGCUCAGAUUGAACGCUGGCGGCAGGCCUAACACAUGCAAGUCGAGCGGUAACAGAUCUAGCUUGCUAGAUGCUGACGAGCGGCGGACGGGUGAGUAAUGCAUAGGAAUCUGCCCGAUAGUGGGGGAUAACCUGGGGAAACCCAGGCUAAUACCGCAUACGUCCUACGGGAGAAAGGGGGCUCCGGCUCCCGCUAUGGGAUGAGCCUAUGUCGGAUUAGCUAGUUGGUGAGGUAACGGCUCACCAAGGCGACGAUCCGUAGCUGGUCUGAGAGGAUGAUCAGCCACAUCGGGACUGAGACACGGCCCGAACUCCUACGGGAGGCAGCAGUGGGGAAUAUUGGACAAUGGGGGAAACCCUGAUCCAGCCAUGCCGCGUGUGUGAAGAAGGCCCUCGGGUUGUAAAGCACUUUCAGCGAGGAAGAACGCCUAACGGUUAAUACCCGCUAGGAAAGACAUCACUCGCAGAAGAAGCACCGGCUAACUCCGUGCCAGCAGCCGCGGUAAUACGGAGGGUGCAAGCGUUAUUCGGAAUUAUUGGGCGUAAAGGGCGCGUAGGUGGCAUGUUAAGUUUGCUGUUAAAUCUUCCAGCCUAACUGGAAAACUGCAGCAAAAACUGGCAAGCUAGAGUGUAAGAGAGAGAAGUGGAAUUCUCGGAGUAGCGGUAAAAUGCGUAGAUCUCGAGAGGAACACCGAUGGCGAAGGCAGCUUCUUGGCUUACUACUGACACUGAGGCGCGAAAGCGUGGGGAGCAAACAGGAUUAGAUACCCUGGUAGUCCACGCUGUAAACGAUGAUCACUAGAUGUUAGUUCUGCUUAGCAGAAUUAGUGUCGCAGCUAACGCGUUAAGUGAUCCGCCUGGGAAGUACGGUCGCAAGGCUAAAACUCAAAGGAAUUGACGGGGGUCCGCACAAGCGGUGGAACAUGUGGUUUAAUUCGAUACUACGCGAGAAACCUUACCUAGGCUUGACAUGCUGGAGAAAGCUUGCGGAAACGUGAGCCCCUCUUCGGAGUUCCAGCACAGAUGCUGCAUGGCUGUCGUCAGCUCGUGUCGUGAGAUGUUGGGUUAAGUCCCGCAACGAGCGCAACCCUCACCCUUAGUUACCAGCGGGUAAAGCCGGGGACUCUAGGGGGACUGCCGGUGCCAAACCGGAGGAAGGCGGGGAUGACGUCAAGUCAUCAUGGCUCUUACGUCUAGGGCUACACACGUGCUACAAUGGGCCGGACAGCGGGUCGCUAGCUCGCGAGAGUAUGCCAAUCCCCAAACCGGUCCUCAGUUCGGAUUGUAGUCUGCAACUCGACUACAUGAAGCUGGAAUCGCUAGUAAUCGUGGAUCAGCUACGCCACGGUGAAUACGUUCCCGGGCCUUGUACACACCGCCCGUCACGCCAUGGAAGUUGUGAGCGCCCGAAGUCGGUGUCGGAACCCGCAAGGGACCAAGCCGCCUAAGGCGAGCGCAAUGACUGGGGCGAAGUCAUAACAAGGUAGCCGUA